GUUCACUUCCUAUAGGGACUGAAAACCAAGUGAGGAGAUGAAGGAUUGCACGGUACUACACCAGCGAAUACAGACAGGGUAAAUGCUGCAAAUAUUUCCUAACCAUCACCCUGACAACAACUGCACAACUGUGCGAAGACAUCCAGUCCCUUCACAGCAUUGCUCAAACACGGAGAAAGUUGGGCAGAGAAACUAUCACCGGGAAAUCAGUUGGUCAAGGGAGCUUUGACAUAUUAUCAGAUCUGAAAGUGGUCAGUGGUGUGGAGCCUUCCAUCAGAACCAGCCAUCUGUGAGUGAUCGGUCAGGGUGAGGCUGGGAAGAAGUGUGAGUGGCUCCAAGUGUGGUGAGAGCUUCAAUCACUCAUCGAGCCUCAUGAACCACUGACUCAUUUAUACAGGGGAGAGGCUGUUCAAGUGUCAGGUGUGAAACGUGGACAGGCUCAGAAAGUCUCCUCAUACACAAGCUGUGUCUGUUCUAUAACGUUAACAUUGGGGCAGCUUCAUGGAAGAGAAGCCAUUCAAGUGUGAGGUGUGUGACCAAUCAUUCUCACGCACAGCCCACUUUCUUAUACACCAGCGAACUCAUACAGGGGACAAACCAUUCACAUGUGAAGUGUGCAACAAAUCAUUCUCGCAGUCAUCGAAUCUCCACAGACACCGACGCAUUCAUACAGGAGAGAAACCAUUCACAUGUGAGGUCUGUCAUAAAGCCUUCACACUGUCAUCGAGCCUCUUGCUCCAUCAGACAAUCCACACAGGAGAGAAACCUUUCAAGUGUAAAGUUUGUGAUAAAGCUUUUCCAACAUCUACAAGACUUCUGUUACACCAGAGCAUCCAUACCGGGGAGAAACCUUUUCGGUGUCGGCUGUGUGACAAAUCAUUCUCUGAGUCAUCUCACUUUCACUCACACCAACGUGUUCACACUGGAGAGAAACCAUUCACCUGCCAAGUGUGUAACAAAUCAUUCUCACUGUCAUCAAACCUCCGUGAACACCAACGCCUUCACACUGGGGAGAAGCCAUUCAAGUGUGAGGUGUGUAAAAAGAGCUUUGCACAGUUGUCAGGCCUGGUGAAACACCGACACACUCACACCGGGGAGAAGAAAAUAUUCACUUGUGAGGUGUGUAAUCAGGAGUUUGAACAGUUGUGGGGAAUGUUGGAUCACCGUCGCAUUCACACAGUCAGGGAAGCCAAGUGAGAUGUGUGACUGAGCAUUCACACAGUCAGUGACAAUCAGCAAACACUGAUACACCCACACUGAGGGAAGGUGGCUUAAGUCUGACGUUUGUGACAAAGGCUUCACAAUGUCCUUCCUGACACACCAGAUGACUCAUUCAGGGAUCAGUCUAUUCAAUGAUGAGGUGUGAGAUCGUGCCUUCCCACUGCCAGAGACAUUUGCAAAACAUGGACACGUUCACACUGAGGAGAAAUCGUUCGAGGGUGAAGUGUUUGACGAGUGAUGUGGACAAUGAUUGGGCCUGAUGUAUCAUGGAUGCAUUCACUCUGAAGAAUGGGAAAAAAUCUUCUUAAACUCGUCUAUGCUUUUGCUCCAUCAGAGAACCAACACAUUGAGGUGAUUCUUCAGGUGUGAGAUUUAGAAGAAGGUUCUUCAAGCAUCCUGAGACACCAGAGGGUUCACAGAGGAGGACAAAAGCCUUCAAACAUCAUAUUUGUUUUAAGGUUUUCAUGCACUUUUCCAAUUUCUUGAAGUGCCAGAGGACCCAUAAUGGAAAACUGGAAAAUUGGGCAGUGCCUCCAGAAUUCUCACUCCAGCCAAAUAAUCUUCUCAGCAGCAGACUCGAUGGCUGAAUGGCUUAAUUUCUGCUCCGAUGUCUUAUGGUCUAAAGGCAGCGAUCGUUCAUGUACUAAUUCACCUCAGUCUUUUAUUCCAAUUUAUCUGGUCAGAUGCAUUCUUAUUUCAUUGCAGUUGGUUUUCCUGAAAUUAGUUCUUAUUCCGAAUUGUUCCUUGUCUUUCUGUGUCACCACACCUAAACCCUCUGAUACAGUGAUCACCAUCCCCUAAAGGUACCCCCAUUGACACUUGCAACUUUUCAGUGACAUCCUUAAUCCUGGCAUUAGCAGGUUAAUGCCUUGAUUCAUGCCUAUGGCACAGGAACAUUUGUUGUCAAUAUUAAGUCUCCUAUCACGAUUACUUUUCCAGUCUUCUGUGUGUCCCUCUGUUCGGUUGAGCCAGCUAUGGUGCCAUGGACUCUCCUGAUUAUUUAUGACAUUCAUCAGGAUUCAGAGCUCAACACUGGUUGGAGAGUGAGAUACACUUAGGAGUCCUUCCUUCCUGACACUUCCUAAAUCACUCCUAAACAGCCUGGCUCUGGUUUUAAAGGUGCAAUGCAUGUGUUUGUAAAAUGAGCCAGAUCUCAGGAGUGGGUAUGGGGUAGAAUAAGACCCUUCUUUAGUUGGUGAUGUGAAGUAUAGAUAGAUCCUUGUCAGGUGACGGCUGUUACUGUGGGGAAUGUUUGUACUCCCCUGUCUGGGAUGACUACUAUUCUGAGUACAGGAAAGGAGUGGACUUAGCUUUGACAGACCCGAGCUUCCUCAAUCCAUUAUACCUGAACAUAAAAAUUUUAGUGUGAUGAGAAUCAUUUCAAAAUUAUAUUCAUGUUUUGUGAAUGAACUUGAGUCACUUUCAAAUACUCUGUUAUUUUGGUUGAAUCACAUUUUGAUGUAAGCUGAAUAUUGUAUUGUUGUUUGUCUAUCUUCUGUGUAGAUUUAGAACUCUUAAUAAAUUCACUGUUUCACUUAAG